rnacentral:rRNA from 1 species
CGUCUUUGACGUUGCUUCUCCGCCGGUCGAGGACAACCGACCCCCUCGCGUCCCGAGGCUAAACGACGUCCCGGUGUUACCUCCCCGGAGGCACACGUUAAAGAUCGUUCCGCAUUGUGAGUCUUGACACCAGCUGUACAAUUUUUUACAACCGGUGGCGUUGGAUCCCUUGGCACGUCAUUCGAUGAAGACCGUUGCAAAUUGCGAUAAAGUGAUGUGAUGCGCAAGUCCACCACUUAUACGUGAAUCAUCGAGUUGUUGAACGCACUGCACCGCGCCCUAAUCCGGCUGCGGUAUGCCCCUUUGAGCGUCAUUGCUACCCUUCGGGAGUCAUUCCUUGGGAAGACCCGAGUUCGGAGUCCUCGGUCCUCGGAUCGUGUUCUCUCAGAUCCAUCGCGCCGAUCGUCCGGUAGGUCCUCUAAUGCCUGAGCGUGGAGAGCCUCUGGAGUUUUGAGCGGCGUUUGACCGCGUGGCAAGCGCUGGUCACCAAGUCCGCACGGCCUAGCCGUUGGUGCUACAACUCAUGACCUCAUUGGGGUAGGACAACCCGCUAGACUUA